UCGUUUGUUUAUGUGUUACAUAUUUGUUGUUCGUUCAUUUUUUGUACAUAAAUAAGGCCGCUUGUUUUCUGGUUUGAAUUGUUUUACAUUGUCAGUUCGGGGCUUUUUAAAGCUGAGUAUGCGGUAUGGGCUUUGCUCGUUGUUGAAGGUCGUACGGUGACCUAUAGUUGUUAAUUUCUGUGUCAUAUUGGUCUCUUAUGGAGAGUUGUCUCAACAUGGCAAUCAUACCACAUCUUCUUUUUUUUUGUAAUCAAUGAAUUUUGUAAAAGAUUUAAUGACUGGAGAAUUUCAGAAAAGGUAUCAAAAGUUCACAUGAAUAUUUUUA
rnacentral:lncRNA from 1 species